GAUGAACGCUGGCGGCGUGCCUAAUACAUGCAAGUUGAGCGAACAGAUAAGGAGCUUGCUCCUUUGACGUUAGCGGCGGACGGGUGAGUAACACGUGGAUAACCUACCUAUAAGACUGGGAUAACUUCGGGAAACCGGAGCUAAUACCGGAUAACAUAUUGAACCGCAUGGUUCAAUAGUGAAAGGCGGCUUUGCUGUCACUUAUAGAUGGAUCCGCGCCGUAUUAGCUAGUUGGUAAGGUAACGGCUUACCAAGGCAACGAUACGUAGCCGACCUGAGAGGGUGAUCGGCCACACUGGAACUGAGACACGGUCCAGACUCCUACGGGAGGCAGCAGUAGGGAAUCUUCCGCAAUGGGCGAAAGCCUGACGGAGCAACGCCGCGUGAGUGAUGAAGGUCUUCGGAUCGUAAAACUCUGUUAUCAGGGAAGAACAAAUGUGUAAGUAACUGUGCACAUCUUGACGGUACCUAAUCAGAAAGCCACGGCUAACUACGUG
rnacentral:rRNA from 1 species